UUUUCUUGUUCUUUGAAAAGCUUAAUACGAGGAUCAGAAGCCAAUGCAGUAUCAACAAGGUUACGUAGGCGUGCAUUAUCACGAGCCUUAUUCUUUUGACGUUCCGAACGAUUCUUCUUCUCCUGAAAACGCUUGUUAUCACGAGAUUCACCAUCAUCAGGGAUAUCCUUGUCUAAAUAUUCAAAGCUUCUCCAAGAAUCAAAAUUGUACCAGAAGUUAUAAAAGUUAUCAACUUCGGCACGAGUAGAUUCAAUUGUACCAAGUGAAGGGACGGGUUGCUUUUUAGAAAAUCUAGCUUCACUCUCGAAAACUGGAGUCCAGAGUUCAAAGAAGGUUUCUUUAGUAGUAGACUCAGGAGGCUCAACAUCAGCAUUCUCAUCAACUGAAUCGAAUUGACGGCGCCUUACAGGAUCAGAUAAAAUUUCAUAAGCCUUUUGGAUGCACUUGAAGAAAGAAUCAUCGUUUAUGUUACCAGAGGCAGCUUUCUUAUCAGGAUGAUGCUUCAAAACCUUCUUCAAAUGAGCUUUCUUGAUUUGCUCAGUAUCAGCUUUGUAGCGGUACUUGGAAAGACCUAAGACAGCAUAAUGAUCUUGUUGCUUCCAUUCCUUGGGAUCAGCACGGAGCAUAGCAGGAUCCUCCUCUUCGUCUUCAGAUUCCUCCUUGACCUCUUCUUGAACUUUGUUCUUUACUUCAAGGCGCUCAUCUUCACUAAAUGUACGACCAUGCCUUUGACGCCUAGCAUGGGCAAGGAAAAGUGGACCUACUGGUUCAACCGCACGCUUAAUUAAAGGGCUAAUUUUUCCAUGAGGAACAAAAGAAGCCUCAAUAGCUUGCUUGGUAGUAGGAGGGAAUAACUGAAUCGAAUCACCGGCGCUCAUUGCAAAGGUUAGGAAAGGACAACUUCAGUAGCUGAAAAAAUAUUCAUAUAGAUUUGACAGCUAAAUGAACUUCAACGUUUUCUAAUGUACUACGUUAUUUUACCUACAACAUAUUUUACUAAUUAUUUAUUUCAGUAUUUCUUUAACGUACAUGGAAAACUUUGCAUAGCUUAUAACCAAACAACGUAUUUCAAAAACAAGAAUUUUCACGCUAUUCGAAUUCAAAAAAUCCAGUGUACAAAAGGUAUUCAGGUUUAAUGAAGUUCAUCGAGAAUUCGAGUGAAUCGAUUGCCGCUGCUUUUCCAAAAAAUCUUCUCGAUGAGGACAUGUCGAUUGUCACGAUCUAAUUCAAAAUUGUUCAAUACUGUUAACUGGCUAGAGUUUUUUGGAACCCAAAAAAUGUAAUUGUGCAAAUAAUUAUUAAUGAUUUUUCUUUCAAACUAACUAAACCUUUUGUUUAUGAAAUGCUUAGUAUCGUAUUUCUGACGCCUUUAAAUCCUCAUUUCGUAGUCGCUUUCGCAACAACUUAAAAUACAGCUGAAAGGAAUAUUCACUUAAGCAAUUUUUGUAAAAGCGCAAGUGUGAGUAGAACAUCAGAAGAGGGAGGGGGGAAAGAAGUAAAUAUACGAUAUUUCUAUGAAAGAAAGUUUACAGCUCCACAGAUUCCCAUGUUAUUUCUAUUAUAGUACCAGCGAGGCCUUAGACGCUUGACUGCAGUGGUCGGACGGGAACUAGUGUUUUUGUCAAGGUAAACGAUCAUUACUAAUUAUAGCAA